rnacentral:rRNA from 1 species
ACGAAGGGUGCAAGCGUUACUCGGAAUUACUGGGCGUAAAGCGUGCGUAGGUGGUGGUUUAAGUCCGAUGUGAAAGCCCUGGGCUCAACCUGGGAAUGGCAUGGGAUACUGGACUGCUGGAGUGCGGUAGAGGAUGGCGGAAUUCCCGGUGUAGCAGUGAAAUGCGUAGAUAUCGGGAGGAACAUCCGUGGCGAAGGCGGCCAUCUGGACCAGCACUGACACUGAGGCACGAAAGCGUGGGGAGCAAACAGGA